rnacentral:misc_RNA from 1 species
GAACUGCGAUACGUAAUGUGACUUGCAGAAUCUCGUGAAUCAUCAAAUCUUUGAACGCAAAUGGCGCUCCCGGGUACUCCUGGGAGCACGCCUGUCUGAGUAUCAUUGCCCUCACCCUCUGCCAGCCGUCUGCGUAAGGCGGCGAGCAGGGUAUGGCGGCCACGCGCCCUCCUUGCGGGGGCGCGCGCCCGCUCAAACGCGAUUUUUAAUUAACUAUCGCUUGAACCUUGUCCUGGGUCCUGGGAGGAACGGACGACGGAAUCCGAGCCACGCUGUAAGCCUCAUCGCUCCUCGCGGCUCGCCUUCCCGACGCGCCCCCCUUUGCGCGACCCGGCGGCGGUUUCAGGACACACUUCAUGAUCUCAGAUCAGGCGAGAGGACCCGCUGAACUUAA